rnacentral:rRNA from 1 species
GAUGAACGCUGGCGGCGUGCUUAACACAUGCAAGUCGAACGAAGCACUUAUCUUUGAUUCUUCGGAUGAAGAGGUUUGUGACUGAGUGGCGGACGGGUGAGUAACGCGUGGGUAACCUGCCUCAUACAGGGGGAUAACAGUUAGAAAUGACUGCUAAUACCGCAUAAGACCACGGAGCCGCAUGGCUCAGUGGGAAAAACUCCGGUGGUAUGAGAUGGACCCGCGUCUGAUUAGGUAGUUGGUGGGGUAACGGCCUACCAAGCCAACGAUCAGUAGCCGACCUGAGAGGGUGACCGGCCACAUUGGGACUGAGACACGGCCCAAACUCCUACGGGAGGCAGCAGUGGGGAAUAUUGCACAAUGGGGGAAACCCUGAUGCAGCGACGCCGCGUGAGCGAAGAAGUAUUUCGGUAUGUAAAGCUCUAUCAGCAGGGAAGAAAAUGACGGUACCUGACUAAGAAGCACCGGCUAAAUACGUG